UUUUUCAAUGGUCGUAUCCACCAGAGAACUACUUUGUGUGCAUUUAUAACUACUAUGGAUGCCAACAAGAAAGUGACUAGCAAAAAUAGAUCAACUUAAAUAAAAACAUCAUCUAGACAACUUAGUAUAUCGUCGUGUUGUGCAAUUUCCUAAAUGGUUGUAUCCAAUUUUGGACUACUACUCUGACCUACUUAGUACAAUUUUUUUCUAAUAGUCCCUUUGCAUUUUUCUGAAAAGAAGCAAAUAGAAAAGAUAAGGAUCAACACAGCAGCCGGCCCACAACCGCUCUCUCUCUCCCCCUGCAGCCCAAUGCAUGGCCCAACCAACUCUCUAACUCUACAAGCCCAAAGCCUACUCAAGCCUCCCGUAUCCCUACCCCUGACAGCCCUCUCCCCUGCACUUGCUCCCACACGCAGCCGCUGCUGCGAGACGCACGCGCGCGCGACCCUAUUGCCCCUCCGGCCGGCGAGCUCUUCAGCUCUGCCGCGCACCUCCGUUAACUCCUCUUCUCCCACUUCCUUCCCUCCUCUCGGAUCCCCUGCGGCAACCCAAGCAAUGGCCAUUCCGCUCGGCUUGGCCGGUGCCAAUCGCCGCCAGCGACCGGCUCGAGCUCCUGGACUCCACCGCCGCCCUGCUCCGGCAGCUCGCCUUAGCCGCCCAAGCGUCGGCCUCGGACCCCGUUGGCGCUGUCUUCCCUUGCAACCACUGCCCCUGCCUCGACCAGGUGAGAAGAGCGAUGCGCCUAAUCCGACCAGGUGACAUCUGGCUCCCUCACGCGGCGAUUCGGACGUGAUCCAGUGGCCAGGAGCCGGCCGCUCGCAAUGACCAGAAAGUGCGCGUGCACUUUUUAGAUUUUAGGUUUCUUUUUUCUUCCGGCAUUGUUAAUUAAAUGUAGUUGUUCAUCAUUGGAAAGGCAGGGAGUGGUGAGGACCGCCACCACCACUCCACCACUGUCCACUGCAUAUUUGCAUGUGGGUCUACCACAAAAUCCAUCUCUCUGCGGAUUAGGUUGAUGCCAAGUAGGAGUACUACUAUAGUGGUCAACUGUACCUAGCAGGUUACAAUUAGUAGAGCUAAUUGCAUGUUACGCACAGUGUACUUUACUUGUUUUGGCUCACUAGCUGUAGGACCAGCCGCACACCAGGUAAUCCCCCUCUUGAUAAAACACGGCAGACGGGUAGAGUACCAUCACGAAAAAGGAUUUGGUUAGUUAUAGUAAUCUGCUAAUUAAAGGAAUGAUUAUUAUACUAUUAUUCUGGAAGCAAAAGUGAGCAAGAAAGAUGAGUGGCUAGGGGCAUGUUAACAAACGAAGGGGGCCAUGGAUCGGGUCAGACGCUGAAUGCUUCGACAAAAGAGGAAGGAAGACCGGAGCAGAAACGUUGACCGCGACGUGGCGAUACAGCGAGCACGCGCGCAUUAGGCGGUCAAUCAUCUCGAGAGACGAUCGAGAGACAGCUCGAGAUGAGUAGUAGUAGUAGUAUGUUUUGUUGACCACUUUUUUAGAUGGUGGGAAAAGCGCGGUUCAGCUCACAUACCGUACGCCAAAACCGUGGUCUUGAUGUGCCUUUUUCCUGUUUCCAUCUUGUUACUAAUUGGACACUCCACUUUUGUGCUUAGUAGUGGUAUAUGGAUGUAGUAUGUACUGUCUGGCUAAUUAAACUAUGUGCGCACCCGCGAAAAAAGAAAAAUUAAACUAUGUGCGGCUGCUUGAUGUGGCCAUGUCACACAUGUCUCGCGUGCAUCUUAUAUCCACCUAACACUCCAAUUACGCGCUCGACGGUGCAGUUGUUGUGAGGGAGGAUGAAGAUGAUGUUGACCUGGGAAGUACAACUCGCGAUGAAAACCGAGGCCGUGCUGCUAGUUUAGCCACGGUAGUAAUCUCUACUAUUAAAGAAGGAUCGAACGUCGUGAUGGUUCGAUCUCCAUUGCCCCCCUCCUAUCACUAGCUCCUCCCACCCACGUCCUCCCACGGAUUUUUUUUCAAUACUACAGUCCCUCCAAAAACAAAAGGCAAGUAAACAAAAGAACCAAGCGGUUCAUCAAUAAAAGAAACCUGAGCCGACCUCCACCGCUCCCUCGUUUCCGUUCAAAAAGAAAAAACCUCUCCCCACGAAUCACCCGCCCACGAACUCACGUCCCACACAUCCCCCCAUCUCCCCCGCAGCCCUCGGCCCCGAUCCCAUCUCUCCCCUCUCUCCUUUUCCAGAAAAAUCGCCGGCCCAGAUCUCGAUUCGCCGCUGCCGCUCCCCUCCUCGUCAGCCUCGUGGUCGCGGUGGCCGAAGUCCUGGCUGUGGACGCCGCCGCUCCCCUACUCGUCAGCCUUGUGGUCGCGGUGGCCGUAGCCGCCGGCCCUGCACUCUCCUCUUCAGGAUGUCCCUCGUGCCACCCUCGUGUUGUUGUCGUCGCGCCGCCUCUAUACACCGGCAACCAACUGUUCAGUUCCAUGGGCCCUGAUUGUUUCUUGAAUUUCAGAUUGUUGGGCAUGAGAGCCAUCAUCGGCUGGUUGAUCCACCUCGCUAGCUCGUGUCCGUCGAGGUCGUUGACUCUUCCAUUCCUGAAUUGUUAAGCUUCGCUGCAGCAGACUCGCCUUGGAGUUUCAGUUUCGAUCACAUGCAUGACCCUGUAGGUAAAUUGCUUUUUUCCCGUGGAUGGUCUUCAGCCUGCAGAUGGGCUUCUAUUGUACGAUGAUACUGCUGCGAACAGCGAUCAUUAUCCCGCGACUGGUGAACAAGUUGAAGUCCACAGUGAUGUAUAGCAUCAUGAGCGUAAUUAUAUGACUACUUUUUGUUACUGUUUCUACAUACAUGUUUUAUUAUAUCGCAGUUCUGCUCUUUGGGUGUGCACUUAAUUUAUGGGAGGAGCCCCAAACUUUUAUUAAAGAACUUACCAAUUUUGAACCUUCAGAAUUCAGACUGGUGGAGUACCUGUCAUUUUUAGGCAAUUGGUAGUGACGUAUUUGACUCGUCAGACAUAUGUCAUAAACUUAAAACAUAUUGUUGGCUGGAUACGAGACGAUGUAGUGUUGGUUGGAUACGUGACGAUGUAGUUCCAUCACCAUUGGUGAAGUGGAUAAGCUUAGAACAUACUAUUACUUUUAGGCAAUCUGUCGCGAAUCGGCAAUAAUGACUUAGUCCGGAGGUGGAGCGGAUAGUUGACACCAUGCAGUUCAACAGUCCCUCAUAUGUGAGCAAGCCGCCUUUGGAGCUGCUCGAAGCAAGACAGGAAGCAUGUCAUGCUCAAGCUCAAGUCGUCUCGAUGGCUCGUCGACCUGAAAUGGAUGAUGCGCUCAAGUGAUGCGUUGUGCGCUCAAGUGGUCGAAGCAGAAGGAAGAAAGGUCGUCCAUAGUGUAGUCUUGCUGACUGUGGUCUUAUAUACUCAGCUGAGCAAAGCAGAUGAAGCAAAGGAAGAAAUGGAUGAGUGACAAGUUAUCAACUAUGUAGUCUUAGAGUCAAGUGACAAGUGUGUACGAGUAUUUCACACGCAUGCUUUUCAGUAGUGCGAGUGAGAUUUUUAUUUUGACCAUUAAUUAGUGUGAAUUAUGAUGAUCACCAUUGAUCAAUUAAUGUAAGGGGUUUGUUUUACGUAAAAGCAUUGGAUCUGAUGUAUACAAGUAUCUGCCACUAGAUCUCUUUCUAUGUUUUCAUCUGUUGUAUGUUCCUGAUGCGACAGAUAAAUUCUACACUGUUGAGGUCUACACUUUUCUAAUCAGGGCACACAUACCUGUUCUUCUCCUGAAAAAUAGCUGCAAUUUGGAAUAGUUCAAGCACAGAAGUAGUCUCCCAACUCUCAAAUUGUUGCUUGUUAUAUUAAUCCGCAGACUACCAAAUUGGAAGAUUUUCAAUCAUGAUAUGAUUCUGAGAAUGGAUGCAUGAUUGCAGAUGGCUACCAAACUGUAAAAUUUCAACAUUCAAAGGAUGUAUUUUGUACUGGCAGUUUUGAUGCAUGAUUGCAGCUGCAUGUAGGUUUCGGUUUGUCCAAGAACUGUCUAUGUAUACCGAUAAUGAUUACUCCAUCCGUCCCAAAAUAAGUUUAUUUGGUUUAGUACAGUUUAUACUAUAAAACGUUACUACAUGUACUAAAUCAAAGAUACUUAUUUUGGGACCGGGGGAGUACUUUGUUUUCAAAUGGCGCCUGCUGUACGCAUGACAACUGUGCGUGUAUAAAUUAGUAUCAUGUUGCCUGCACGUUGAACUUAUAAUUCUUUUUCUGAAUAAUGUGUCAUAUUUGAUUCCUGUCAAAAUGACCAUUGCUAUUUGCUUUCUAGACAUCUUGUAUGUGGCUUGUGGUGAUGACAAUUUUUAUUUUUCUCAGGAUUUGAUUAUGAUCGUGAAGGGUACAUUACGAUUUACGAGCAUUUAAUCUUCUCUGAUAAUCAAAGUGCCGCAUAGUCUUAUGUGCAUUCAUCAGAGCUAUUCCACAAUUUUGUCCCCCCUUAUGCCUUUUUACACUUUUAUAUGUGUAGCUUUUAUUUUUUUUAAGACGUUCAUUCUUUUUUUUCUAAGUCUUCAUGUGUGCAGAAUUACUUCUGCGGUGAGCCGGAGUGUGACGUCUUCUCACGGGCUACUGUCAUCAAUCAAGGUGGUCAUCGGUCGAUAUCAAGCUUGACGAGUACUUCCCGAAGGCUGAUUUCUGCUCCCGCCGCGUUGCUGACCGAGGCCCCAUCUACGUGGGAAGCUGCUAUUUUUUUGAUAGAUUGGCAGUGAGAUGCUUGGAUAGGAGAAAAGAAAUCGGAAGAGCAUGAGAGAUAGAUGUUGAGAACCUAAAUAAUGCACACACAUUUACAUAUUUCAUGUGAUGGUAGUAUGUCGUCGUAAUUUUUGUGUUGGUUGUCCUACUGAAUGUUCCUGUCAGUCCUAACUCAUCACAUCUCUCUCAAUUUUCAGUCAUGCUUGGAGCUUUUAUCUGUAACUCUACAAUAUCAGAAAGCAUGUCUAAAGCUCAAGUUUGUAUUUGUCCAUGGUCAAGAUAAGGGGCACAUAGAGCUUGGUUUGUUAAGCUUCUUUAUAUUCUCAAGGAGGUGAGGAGUUCCUCUUGAGAAGGAAGAGGACAGCCUUUAACUCAACCUACGCCUUCAGAGAGAACUGCUUGAACUCAAGAUGCUCCUCCCAGUCAUUUGAUCGAUGCAAAAAUAACCUUUUAUGAGAGUGAACUAAAAGUCAGAUGUUUUACAUUAAGCAUACAUCUCUUGUAGGUCUAUUUAACUUUGGGUUUGGGAGUAUUAUAUGUUGUUUGAGAGGGUCUAUUUUUUUUUGAGAAAAUAAGAUUUUGUUCUUUGUUUCUAUACUUAUCGAAGUUCAUGUUUCUUUUCA